rnacentral:lncRNA from 1 species
AUGAGAUCUGUGGAUGGGAACAUGUCUCCAGUCGAGGUGUUGAUGAAGGAAAUUCAGAAAUGCUCACACAAAUGGAGCAAGCGGACACAUAAAUCCACGUCGCCCUGGCCUUCAGAGGGGACAUUUGAUCUGAGGCAAUGUGCAGAGAUGCAGGGUUUUAUAAAAACCUAUAAGAUAAAAGACAAAUCUGUAAAGCGAGGCCUUAAACGGGAAAAAGAAAAUGCAGUGUUGCAAUUGUUUAUUAACUGUGCAAAAAUGAUGGGCAAAAAGACGACUCAAUGUGGGGAUAAUCAAUUUAAUCAGAUCUCUAAAACUAAGUCUCUUUCAGAUGCAUCCCAGCUGAAUGCAGAAGAAAUAAAACCUUUACGGACGAAGAAGCCAGUUCACCCUGUAGCUGAUCUAGAAGGGACAGACAGGGCAGUGAAAAGGGAUGAGUUGUUAGAACUGCCUGACAUUUAUUUAAACACAGAGAAAAUUUCAAUUGGAAAUUCCUGCAGUGAAAGUGAUCUGCGUGACAGAGCAAUUCGAUCACUGUGGGCUGAGUCAGAUGAGGAAUCAGUGUGUGUGGGUGACGAACGGGUAAAUGAGGUUUCUGAUGGACUUCCUCUGCUGAUCAAAAGGGCAAAGUGUCAAAAUCUGCCCUGGCCUUCAAAACCGGAACAGAAUGAUCUGACUGACACUGUGGGACUUUGCAACUUGUCACUAGAACAAAUAACUAAGCAUGUGAUUCAUGCUGUUGAGCUGCGUCAGAAGCAGGCAAAGGAGGCAGUGAAAGAAGCAACACGCCAGCAGCAGAGGCAGAAAGAGGGGGAGAAAAGAGCUCAACCAGCCAGCGUGCCUCAGACCCCACCUACACCACCAGGCAUGGCCACACCUCAGGUGAUGUACAUUCUACCAGGAGGGUGGACAAGACGACCUCCUAUGAGGAGAAAAGAGCUCAACCAGCCAGCGUGCCUCAGACCUCACCUACACCACCAGGCAUGGUCACACCUCAGGUGAUGUACAUUCUACUAGGAGGGUGGACAAGACGACCUCCUAUGAGGAGAGGAGGGUUCCCUGCAGACAAAGGCAGAGGAACAGGGGGCAGUCACAAAGGAGGCGUGAGAUGCUACUGCUGUGGGAAGACUGGUCACGUAAGAAGCCAUUGCUUUGAUUGGCUACGAGGGUCACGAGGAGUGCCUAGACCAAAGGGGUCCGCUACUCAAUGUGGAGGCCCCUCAGCUGGUUACUAGAGAGGACCAGACACCUGCAGGAUUCAUGAACUUUGUUGAUGGGCUCCAUCAAAAGCCAAAAAGCCAGAGGCCUCUGAAUCUGUGACUUCACCUUGCUGCACACUUUAGUACUUUGAGACUCAGACAAAUAUCUAAAAUUUGGAAACAGAAUAAACAAGUCGGCUGGUGAGAAUGACUUAGUCCU